UCCGGUUUGUCACCGGCAGUCCCAUUAGAGUGCUCAACUGAAUGUAGCAACUAAUGGCAAGGGUUGCGCUCGUUGCGGGACUUAACCCAACAUCUCACGACACGAGCUGACGACAGCCAUGCAGCACCUGUGCACGGACUCCGAAGAGGGGCCGAUGUUUCCACCGGCUUUCCCGUGCAUGUCAAGCCCAGGUAAGGUUCUUCGCGUCGCGUCGAAUUAAACAACAUGCUCCGCUGCUUGUGCGGGUCCCCGUCAAUUCCUUUGAGUUCUAGCCUUGCGGCCGUACUCCCCAGGCGGGGUGCUUAAUGCGUUAGCUUCGGCACGGACGGAGUCGAUAGCCUCCCACACCUAGCACCCAUCGUUUACGGCUGGGACUAC
rnacentral:misc_RNA from 1 species